rnacentral:lncRNA from 1 species
AGGCGACGGCGCCCUCGGGACUCGGCGGCCCGACGCCUCGCGUUUGUUGAGCCGCAUCGUCUGGCCGCCGUCUCUUGGUGCCGGUGCGCGGACGCGACGCGUCAAUGAGAAUCGGCGUGUCGGGCGAGGCGCCCGGCGGGGUGACGGGUUCGUGGCGCGCUACGGGCCGAGUGUGGGCCAUAACACCGACCCAAAGAGACGCGGAUGGAGAGAGACGCGCGUGCGACAGCGACCAGGGGAAGGCGGCAAAAAAAAAAAGAGGCAGCGCAAUCCGCCGUGAUGACGGAGAGAAAAAGGAGGAGAAAGGCCAAAAAGAGGGCUGGCGUGGUGUACGGAAUGCGCCAGGAAUGGCAGAGGACCGACGAAUGAAAGGAAAGACGGCAGGGAGACAAAGGCGGUAAAAAAAAAAGACAAGCGCACUGUGCCGCAGACGGCCGGUGGAGAUAGCGCGCCGUACACGACCGACGGCAAGGCGAGUCACCCCACAAAAAAAAAAAAGAAAGACGCCAAAGGCCAAUAGCGCAGCGAAAAAGACACGAACCCCAUUGGCCACACAAAUCAUUUUUCCUUUUCUCUUUCUUUGUUCUUUCUUUUUUCUUUUUUUAUUUUUCUUCUCAACAAAAAGCAAAGAGAGGCCUGCGUCGGGCCACACAAAGACCGCCCAAAGACGCCGCGGCCUUUUUCUUUUGGGUUCCCGGUCGGCAACAAGGUCGUCCUCUGUCGCGUCCUUUGUUUGUCCCUCGGCCUGGACGGGCCGUGCCACCCGGUCAGAAUGCAACGCCGUCGCUCG